GCAAAACUUUGAGACCUUUUGUUCUUUAGUGCAGUGAAGGAAACCUCAUUAGAGAGGAUUUUCUUAGUUAGCAGGGCUUUGGGGUUAAUGAGCUGUGAGUGAUAAUAUAUAGUAGUAAUCCCUCAUGGCUGUAACAAGUUGUAUUUUAUAAACUCCUUAAUCUCAGUGGUGAAGGAGAUGUGGGGUAUAGGAAAGAGAAGAAACUAAUUUGCAGAGCUCAGGGAAAUUCCAGUGAUUUUGCUCUGUGUCUGGAAGUUAUUUGGUAAAAAAACCCUACAGGUACCACCAGGUCAAAGAAAGGGAAUAUUAUCUGCAUGUUUUCCUAAAUGGUGUCAUGGGGAUGACAGGAGGUGAUCAUGAAGAGAUAAUAGAUGUUUCACUUUUCAGUCAAGCAAAUGUAACUCCCACCUACUCCGUGGAGACUGCUAGAUUACAGCAGCCAGCCUGGGAGGUACAUCAAAUUCUGUUGCAUCGUGCAGAUGGUUAUCAUUUAAGAUGCAAAAGUCCGUGUCAGCCUGAUAUAGAGCCAUAUGAAAGUCAUAAGGAGCUGAAGAAAGAGGGGCUAGUGAAGAACAACAAACUGCUUUUUCAAAAAUACUGGCCUCAUAACUUGUAUGGUAUACAAUUACAACAAAUACUGGUAAAUAAGCUUAAAUGUUGGCCAUCCUUUCUGGAUGUUACAAUAUAGUAUUUUGAUACCAGAAAGCUGUAUGGAAAUGUUGAGCACUGCCAUCAUAGAUGGCACUUUGACUACUACCUAAACCUUGCCUAUGACAACCCUGAGCUAUGCAGGGCACCUUCACUAAAUUAAACAACAAAGAUGGAGCAAGAGUCCAUAGGUAAAAAGAAAGAUGCUGUCAAAUCAUUGAGGAAAUCCUUAUGGAGCAGGCCAGCUAGAAGAUGUUGCUUGUUAUCUGGUGACCAACUGAUUUUAUUACUCUCUUUAUGCUUAAGUAGGUUGAACUUCUGUUUAGCAAGGGGAAAGAAUGGUGGUAAAAAAUGCCAUUUUGCUUCUCCAACAUAAGGCAAGACUUCUUAUUCACGGCACUUAUACAUUCUUCAAUAGGAAUGAAAGGAAAAUAAAACAACUGAGUCCGGUUGCA
rnacentral:lncRNA from 1 species